rnacentral:rRNA from 1 species
CAGUCGCAUCUGUUGGGAUUCAGCCUGGCUUCUGCCUGGUGUAUUUCCUUUCCGAUGGGUCAGCAUCAGUUUCGACCAAGGGAAAAAGACAUUUGGAAUGUGGCUGUCUUCGGGCAGUGUUAUAGCCUUGUGUUGUAUGUCUUGGUUGGGACUGAGGAACGCAGCGCGCCAUUUUGGCCGGGGUUCUCCCACGCCCACGUGCUUAGGAUGCUGGCGUAAUGGCUUUAAACGACCCGUCUU